UACACAAGAAAUUCACCCAAGUGGAGGGCCUUCAAGUCACCUCCAAGCUCCUUGAAUUCUCCUUGUGUUUUCCUCCCUUUAGUGCUCCUUUGAUGAUUUGAGGAAAAAGGAUUUGUUCUCCAAAACACCAAAAGCUUGAUGUCUCUAAGUCUCUUCACCAAGGUUGUAUAUUGUGAAGAUGAUAUGGAUGACUAAGGAAAGAAGAGAUUGCUAGAUGUCCCUCCCCUUAGUGGCCGGCCUCCUUAGAAGAAAAUGGAGAAAAUGUUUCACCCAAUUUCAACAAGAAGAACCCUAAUUAGAAAAUAGCUAUAAAGUUGCUUUUAU
rnacentral:lncRNA from 1 species